rnacentral:rRNA from 1 species
AGCGAACGCUGGCGGCAGGCCUAACACAUGCAAGUCGAACGAACUCUUCGGAGUUAGUGGCGGAUGGGUGUGUAAAACGUGGGAACGUGCAUUUUGGCACGGGAAAAUACAGGGUAACUUGUGCUAAUAUAGAAUGAGUUCCUCGGGGGACAGAUUCGACGUAAUUGGUGAGGCCCGCGUCCUUCUGGCUUGUUGGUGAGGUAACGGCCCACCAAGGCGACGAUCAGUAGCUGGUCUGAGAGAAAGACCAGCCACACUGGGACUGAGACACGGCGCAGACUCCUGCGGGAGGCAGCAGUGCGGAAUCUUGCGCAAUGGGCGAAAGCCUGACGCAGCCAGGCCGCGUGAAUGAUGAAGGUCUUAGGAUAGUAAAAUUCUUUCACCGGGGACGGUAAUGACGGUACCCGGAGAAGAAGCCCCGGCUAACUUCGUG